GGGGCUGUAGUUUAGUGGUAAAAUGGGUGCCUUGCAAGCGCUUGCUGUCGGUUCGAUUCCGUCCAGCUCCA
rnacentral:tRNA from 1 species